ACGCUCGACACCUACGGAGGCAGCAGUGGGGAAUAUUGCACAAUGGGGGAAACCCUGAUGCAGCGACGCCGCGUGGAGGAAGAAGGUCUUCGGAUUGUAAACUCCUGUUGUUGGGGAAAAAGAGGAUGGUACCCAAGAAGGAAGUGACGGCUAAGUACGUGCUAGCAGCCGCGGUAAUCUGAGCGGGCUGGCAAGGC
rnacentral:rRNA from 1 species